rnacentral:rRNA from 1 species
UACACAUGCAAGUCGAGCGGAAACGAGUUAUCUGAACCUUCGGGGAACGAUAACGGCGUCGAGCGGCGGACGGGUGAGUAAUGCCUGGGAAAUUGCCCUGAUGUGGGGGAUAACUAUUGGAAACGAUAGCUAAUACCGCAUAACGUCUACGGACCAAAGAGGGGGACCUUCGGGCCUCUCGCUUCAGGAUAUGCCCAGGUGGGAUUAGCUAGUUGGUGAGGUAAUGGCUCACCAAGGCGACGAUCCCUAGCUGGUCUGAGAGGAUGAUCAGCCACACUGGAACUGAGACACGGUCCAGACUCCUACGGGAGGCAGCAGUGGGGAAUAUUGCACAAUGGGCGCAAGCCUGAUGCAGCCAUGCCGCGUGUAUGAAGAAGGCCUUCGGGUUGUAAAGUACUUUCAGUCGUGAGGAAGGCGAUAUAGUUAAUAGC